rnacentral:rRNA from 1 species
GACGAACGCUGGCGGCGUGCCUAAUACAUGCAAGUCGAACGCAGUGGGGACGGGUCAGUAACACGUGGGUAACCUCCCAUCAGAGGGGAUAACACUUUGAAACAGGUGCUAAACCGAUACUGAUGGAUGAACCCGCGGUGCAUUAGCUAGUUGGUGAGGCAACGGCUCACCAAGGCCACGAUGCAUAGCCGGCCUGAUAGGGUGGUCGGCCACACUGGGACUGAGACACGGCCCAGAAUCCUACGGGAGGCAGCAGUAGGGAAUCUUGGGCAAUGGGCGAAAGUCUGACCGAGCAAAGCCGCGUGAGUGAAGAAGGUUUUCGGAUCGUAAAACCCUGUUGUUAGAGAAGCGGUAUCUAACCAAAAAGCCACGGCUAACUACGUGCCAGCAGCCGCGGUAAUUC